GAUGAACGCUAGCGGCAGGCUUAAUACAUGCAAGUCGAGGGGCAGCACGGUUAGCAAUAACUGGUGGCGACCGGCGCACGGGUGCGUAACACGUAUACAAUCUACCUUAAACAGGGGGAUAGCCUUUCGAAAGAGAGAUUAAUACCCCGUAAUAAAUUGAACGGCAUCGUUUGAUUUUGAAAGCUCCGGCGGUUUGAGAUGAGUAUGCGUCUGAUUAGCUAGUUGGUGAGGUAACGGCUCACCAAGGCGACGAUCAGUAGGGGAUCUGAGAGGACUAACCCCCACACUGGUACUGAGACACGGACCAGACUCCUACGGGAGGCAGCAGUAAGGAAUAUUGGUCAAUGGAGGCAACUCUGAACCAGCCAUGCCGCGUGCAGGAUGACGGCCCUAUGGGUUGUAAACUGCUUUUUAUACAAGAGAAAACCCUGGUACGUGUACCAGGUUGAUAGUAUUGUAAGAAUAAGCAUCGGCUAACUUCGUGCCAGCAGCCGCGGUAAU
rnacentral:rRNA from 1 species